rnacentral:rRNA from 1 species
UAUAAAUGGUAUACAAUGAAACUGCGAAUGGCUCAUUAAAACAGUUAUAGUUUAUUUGGUAAUCAACUUUACAUGGAUAACCGUGGUAAUUCUAGAGCUAAUACAUGCUGGAGUGCCCGACUCACGAAGGGCCGUAUUUAUUAGAUAUCAGCCAAUAAGCAUCUGCUAUUGUGGUGACUCAUAGUAACUUAAUCGGAUCGCAUGGGCUUGCCCCGCGACAAACCAUUCAAGUUUCUGCCCCAUCAUGCUUUCGAUGGUAGUGUAUUGGACUACCAUGGCUUUCACGGGUAACGGAGGAUUAGGGUUCGAUUCCGGAGAGGGAGCCUGAGAAACGGCUACCACUUCCACGGAAGGCAGCAGGCGCGUAAAUUACCCAAUCCUGAUUCAGGGAGGUAGUGACAAGAAAUAAUGGGUCGGGGCUAUGCCCUGAGACUGCAAUGAGACGAAUUUAGACCCCUUAUCGAGGACCAAUUGGAGGGCAAGUCUGGUGCCAGCAGCCGCGGUAAUUCCAGCUCCAAUAGCGUAUAUUAAAGUUGUUGCAGUUAAAAAGCUCGUAGUUGGAUUUCUGGUUGAAGUCGAUAGCGCACUUGUGUGAGGCUUGAGACUUUUGCCAUCCUUCUGUUAACCUUCUCGACAUUGAUUUGUCGGUUUGGGGCUCAGAUAUUUUACCUUGAGAAAAUUAGAGUGUUUCAGGCAGGCUUGUGCCCGGAUACAUUAGCAUGGAAUAAUAGAAUAGGACUUUAGCCUCUUCUGUUGGUCUGAGGGGUUGGAGUAAUGAUU